GGUCCUCUGCCUGGUUCCCUGUAACUUCACUUCUCACAGUGAGGGAACCAGCAGAAGACCCUUGGAGGAGGACCUCAGUGUCCGGGCUGAGCGACAGAGGUGGAGACUCUCCUUCAGGUAUACUGGGUCAAGGCCAUUUAGAGCUUUAAAGGUCAGCACCAACACUUUGAAUUGUGCUCAGAAACGUACUGGGAACCAGUGAAAAUCCUUUAGGACCGGUGUUAUGUGGUUCCAGCAGGGCCUGCUCUGCUUCCAAAGAUAUUCAGGGUUAUAUUUCACAUUGCCUGAUGAUCCCUGGAUCAACCAAGUGGUAGUUGCUCUCAGGGGAUUCACUUGUGAGUUGAGGCCCCGCUCCCCGCUUUGUGAUGAAAUAAGACACAUGGUGGAUUGAAAAUAAGUGGUUUCCAGCUGUACAGGUUAAAGAUAAGGAUAGAUUAAGAUUAAAGAUUAAGAUUAAAGAUGUUUAAAGAAAUGGAAAUUUGAUAAUAAAAGGGAAAAAUUUAAAGCUAUAUGACAUUAAGAGUAAGGAUUAGGUUUAAAAAAGUGAAGUUAUAUAAAGAAACUGCUGGAUAAAUAAUGUGGAUUGGAAUACAAAAGAGGGAGGUAUGAGGAAGUCCAGAAAAUAAGUAAUUUAAAAUUGGAAAUGGAAAAGAGAGUUUGUUUUUAAUUGUUAUGUUUUGUGUUUUUAUUGUUAUUGUUUUGUGUGUGUGUUGUUUUUCUUUUUUCUUUGUUUAAAACCUUAAUAAAAAUUAAAAAGAAAAAAGAAAAAAGAAAUAAGACACAUGGACACAAGUAAUUUAGGUUAAUGGGCUAAAAAAAGGCCACAACUUUAUUGGUUACAGAAUGUGAGUAGUAUUGGCUUAGGCACUGGAUCCAAACGGACUAUACUUGACUCCUGCCCGCUCUGUAGGGAGUCGCACACAAGGGUUAUUAACCUGUAGGGGGAGUUUGUUGAUGCAAAUCAACUGGAAGCUUUCCCCUAGAGCAGUGGUGGCGAACCUAUGGCACGCGUGCCAUACUUGGCACACAGAGCCCUCACUACUGCCACGUGCGCCAUCGGCCCAUCUGCGCUCUUCAUGUUGUUUUCCCCCAUUUGUUCUCCUUCUCCCCCUCACGCUACAGCUUGCGUCCGCUAUUAGAACCCAGAACCUUUUUUUGCCAGUAGCUGGAGAUUGUGAUAGGUGAUUGGUCUGUUUUUCAAUUUGCUGUGUCAGUGGCUGUUUCUGAUUGGGUGUAACAGCGUUCAUUUUUAACCCUUUCUGUGCUGAUUUUUUUUGGCACUUUGUCAGACCAUGAUGUUGGUAUUAUGUGUUAGUUCCAGUAAAGGUAUUAUUCAUCAUUUAUUUCUCCCCCCCCCCCCAAAAAAAAAUCCGAACAGCUUUGGGGCACCCUCCCCAAAAAAGCAAAGCAACUUUUGCAACCCCCCCAAAACUUUGGUCAGCAGCUCCCCCCAGAAAGUUCAACAACUCUGGGUACUUUGCGAUAAAUAAGUGGGUUUUGGUUUGCAGUUUGGGCACUCGGUCUCUAAAAGGUUCGCCACCACUGCCCUAGAGUCACCGGAGGGUCGUGCCAUGGCCCUAGCCACCACCUGGGCAUCAGACAGGAACCACGACUGCCGGAUUCCUUUAAUGGAAUACCCUUCAAGGGGAAAGGUAGGUGAUGGCCACAACUUCCCCUCCAACACACAACACAUUUUCCAAUACCUAACCGCCAAACCUUACAAAGUUGUGACGAUUUGCUACAAGGUAGGCGAAAAACCAACUGGCUGGUGCCAAUCUGCCACGUGGAAAAAAUUCCUACCAGGCCCCUUGAACAGGCGACCAACCGAGGUCCAUAGCAAGGUCAAGUGCUGAAUGCAAGACAUAUAGCAAGGGUCAGCAAACCUUUUCAGCAGGGAGCCGGUCCACUGUCCAUCAGACCUUGUGAGGGGCUGGACUAUAUGGGGGGGGUAAAUGAAUUCAUAUGCCCCACAAAUAACCCAGAGAUGCAUUUUAAACAAAAGCUCACAUUCUACUCAUGUAAAAACUCCAGGCAGGCCCCACAAAUAACCCAGAGAUUCAUUUUAAAUAAAAGGACACAUUUUACUCAUGUCAAAACAUGCUGAUUCCCAGACUGUCUGUGGGCUGAAUUUAGAAGGCGAUUGGGCCCGAUCCGGCCCCCAGUCCUUAGUUUGACAACCCAUGACAUAGAGGGAGGGAGGGCAGGAGAUCCAAGGAAGCAGGAACAAAACAGGAGGAGCUCGUGAGCCUGCGGCCUUUUAAAUGUGGCCACACCAAAUUGGCUGGCUGGGGGGCAUGACAGGGGCCCAGGACUCUGUGACACAAGGGACCUGGCCACGCCCCCCCUGUGAGCACGGGAAGCGAUUCCCGCCCACAACCCCUCCCCUCGGUGAAGAGGAGAGGCUUUCCCACCUCAUAAACGCAUGCCUUAGUUGGGACUGUGGAUGUAGGCAGUCUUUCAACGGAGAUCUAGAAAAAUGAUAAUGAACCAGAUAGCUGUCGCCAUUCUUUUCAUUGAGGCUUAAUUCCACAACGGACUGAAUAAUCGUUACGUCAAAAGCCACAGUUUAUAGCACAAUUUUUACCCUGCGUGGCAUGUUGCUUCACUAUGCAACGCUACCCUUUACACCAAACGGAGCAGAAGGCUGUGGGGUGAAGCAGGGAGGGAGGCCCUUUACAAGCAAAAAGUCGCCUUUCGGUAUCUGUGUACAUGAUGAAAAAUUAGUCAUUGGAAAGCAGCAAGUCCAAUGCAGAUUACGGCUAGCAUUUGGUAAAGUGGUCAUUGAAGUGCUGUGUUGUGCGCUUAAGAUCACUGUUCAGAUUUAUUUGCUCAUUUCAUCACAGGGAAGUGUGCAGUUAGCAGGACAGAUGGAGGAAUGCUUGAGGAAUUUGAUAUUUUCGAAUUCAGAUAUGAACUGACCUGAUCUGCACCUCUCCGGCUAAUGUACAGAUCGGAUCUUGGUUAUACACAGGCUUUAACGCCUCCUGAAUGCUCCAACACAGUUCUCUGCUUAAAAACCAUUUUAAAAAUAUUUUUAAAUGCCUAUUUUGAGAGAAAAUACGUGUAAUUUCUGAUAAAAUAUGUUUAGAAAUGCCUAUCUUUAAGUCACUGACUCAGAUAAGCAAAGGAAAAAAUUGUUAGUUAAGGGUUAUUGUUAAUGUAUUGAUUGGACUGUAUGUUGAGGGAAUUUGGGAUUAUAUUUGUUUUUAUUCUUUGUAUAUUACUGUUUCUUAGCCACCUUGAGUCUCUGUGGACAAACUGGGGGACAGAAGUUUUUAAAAUAAUGUAAGAUAUUUGAAGAAAAAAGUAUAUUUGAAGUGCACAUUUGAAUGCUAUUUAAAUACAACUUUUUGUGCCUUCUGGCUUGGGCUGAAGGGAGAUGGAGUCCAAAAAUCUGUGAAAACAUAGCUUGUAUCUUUAGCUAAUGGAUGGGGAGCCUCCAGGUGUUGCUGGACUCUAACCCCCAUCAGCCCCAGUCAGCACAUCCAGUAGUCAGAGAUGAUGGGAGUUUUAGUGCAUCAACAUUUGGAGGGCCACAAGUUUCUCAUCUCUUCCUUAUUAGGAGUUACUUACAACAUAACAUCAUGUAGCUAAGAUGACCCUCAAGGAUUUUAUAAGGUGUGGCACUAUCCAAAUAGUUCAUUUAGUAAAAGUUCAGCAAAAUGCAAUGGCUGUAAUGUACCAUGUGUGCAAAGUAAGCCAGUCUAUGUACUUUGAUCGGCUAAGAAUCUUUGUGCCUUUGCAAAGCUCUGUCGGUUGUGCUUCAGACAUUAAAAACUAGUACCGAAACAUGUCAUUCGAGGCUUCAUAUGGAUAUAUAAAACUAGCAGCUGUGCAUGCAAUUGUAUAAUUUAACAUAUGCAAAUUCAUGAAAGUCAUUUUAAUUUUUCACACACACACACACUUUUUAACGGAGAAAUUUAAGUUGUAUUCAUAAAGAUUUGAUUUCAUGAAAGAUUGAAUAGACUUGCAUGAGAUGCAGCUUUUAAAUUUGGUUUGUGUUCUGUAUUGUGCUCUGAUUAGAGAGAGAGAGGCUUAACGGGGGCCAGAUCUGAUUGCUCGGCUCGUCACUGGGAACCUUUCCAUGAAUUUUCAUGUGCGUUGCUUGGAUUGGGCACCAACCCUCUAGAGCCACAAAGGAAUUUUAAAAUUAAGCAUGUGCUGAAAUGCUUUGCCGGAUUGAGACUCGAGAGUAUAAAGUUUUAAUGGCCAGCCAUCCAUUUGCAGUUUGGUAUCAGAGCAAAAGCACUGGUGUAAUUGAUUCCAAAAAGUUGGGAGAAUUUCAAGUAAUGAGUCUAGGUUGGCAUCUGAAUGCAAGAUGGUUGAGCCAGAUCAAUAACAUGGGCGAGAUUGAAUCUUUCUUCCAGUCUUCUUGGCAAAUGCCUGUUCUGUUACUUGCUUCACGGUGUCUUUCUUUUUUCUUUUUAUAAAUGUAUGUAUUCUUCCUGCCCACCCCCUUUUCUGGACUGUUCAGUUUAACUUGCUUGUUUGCACAAGCACCCCUCUGGGGAAUUCUGCUUUCCCCUCAUGACUUCAUGACCUCCUGGAUUUAGGGUUGCUACACACACAUAUCUGAUUUUUCAUAUUUGCCCGCUUUGAGAUAUAUGUAUGCAGAAUAGCUUUUGAUCCAGCAGAGUUGUCUGUUAACAUAAGAGAAUGGGAAGCAAUUUUCUCCUUGACCUUUCCCCCCUGCAUGUACACCUUGCCACCACAUCCAUUCUGAUGGGACCCCCAAUUCUUUGGUGUAUAUUUUCAGGGAAAGCACAAGGGGCUGUAGCAGGGACAUGGAAAAUAUGAAAAAUCAUCUCCCCUUCUCUUACAUUGGCCAGCAGCAAUGGAUUUGGAUCUCACCCUGACAGGCCAGUUGGUUCUUAGAAAAGGAGGGUUCUGUGAGUUUAAAUUUAUGCCCGUCAGCUCUGCUUUCUGUUUAAGGGAAUAACUAGACAUAAUAACAGCAGAUUCCACAUGUGGAACUGGCUAAUUGCAUAGAAGUUGAGAGGGCAUCAUUUUUAAAGCAAGAAAUGUACACGGCCUUUCUGCAAUCCGGGACGGGAAGAACUCUUAUUGUGGGGAAAUAUGCUUAAUUGGUCAUCCCAAUAUGGCCCUCUGAGGGUUAAUGUGGUAGGAAAGCCACCCUUAGUGGGGUCAAGAAAGUAGAAUCUGUUGGAGUUAUUUUAUUUAUUUAGACAGAGAGAGAGAGAGAGUUUAUUUACAACACAUACAAACACACUUGUAAAACUUAACAUGAAAAUAAUAGUACAGAAUC